UGGGGAAUCUUGCGCAAUGGGGGAAACCCUGACGCAGCGACGCCGCGUGUGGGAUGAAGGUCUUCGGAUUGUAAACCACUGUCGCGAGGGACGAAGCUCUGACGGUACCUCGAAAGGAAGCACCGGCUAACUCUGUGCCAGCAGCCGCGGUAAUACAGAGGGUGCGAGCGUUGUCCGGAAUCACUGGGCGUAAAGGGCGCGUAGGCGGCCCGGUAAGUAGGGGGUGAAAUCUCAUGGCUCAACUGUGAGGCUGCCUUCUAGACUGCCAGGCUUGAGCACAGUAGAGGCGAGUGGAAUUCCCGGUGUAGCGGUGGAAUGCGUAGAGAUCGGGAAGAACAUCGGUGGCGAAGGCGGCUCGCUGGGCUGUUGCUGACGCUGAGGCGCGAAAGCGUGGGGAG
rnacentral:rRNA from 1 species